UUGGCAUCCCAAUACCAUAUUUUUGAAAUGAUGUGAUGAUGCCUUCUCAGCAAGGACAUUGUCAUAGAUAAAGAACUUGCUAAUUAGACGCCCCAUUCCCUCCUUCACAUUACCGCCAGCGAAAUAACUCCAAACACUCUUUUGGCGUGCUUUGGAUGAUUUAUAUAAACUUGGGGCCAUUGAUGGUGUUGGUUGUGAUUCCCUCACACUUGCUCCCCG
rnacentral:lncRNA from 1 species